UUGAGGCAAGUCUGGUGCCAGCAGCCGCGGUAAUUCCAGCUCCAAUAGCGUAUAUUAAAGUUGUUGCAGUUAAAAAGCUCGUAGUUGAAUUUCGGGGUCAGUAGGUUGGUCGUGCCACCGGUACGUACUGGUCUCACUGAUUCCUCCUUCCUGAUGAGCUGUAAUGCCAUUAAUUUGGUGUUGCAGGGAAUCUGGACUGUUACUUUGAAAAAAUUAGAGUGUUUAAAGCAGGCUAACGCUUGAAUACAUUAGCAUGGAAUAAUGAAAUAGGACGUUCGAUCCUAUUUUGUUGGUUUCUAGGAUUGACGUAAUGAUUAAUAGGGAUAGUUGGGGGCAUUAGUAUUCAAUUGUCAGAGGUGAAAUUCUUGGAUUUAUUGAAGACUAACUACUGCGAAAGCAUUUGCCAAGGAUGUUUUCAUUAAUCAAGAACGAAAGUUAGGGGAUCGAAGACGAUCAGAUACCGUCGUAGUCUUAACCAUAAACUAUGCCGACUAGGGAUCGGAUGAUGUUAAUUUUUUAAUGACUCAUUCGGCGCCUUGCGGGAAAC
rnacentral:rRNA from 1 species